rnacentral:rRNA from 1 species
GAUGAACGCUGGCGGCGUGCCUAAUACAUGCAAGUCGAGCGAACGGACGAUAAUCUUUCUUCUCUGAUGUUAGCGGCUGACGUGUGAUUAACACGUUUAUAACCUACCUAUAAUUCUUGUAUAACUUCGUGAAACCUGAUCUAAUACCGGAUAAUAUUUUGAACCUCAUUGUUCAAAAGUUAAAGACGGUCUUUCUUUCUCUUAUAGAUUUUUCCUCGCUGCAUUUGCUAGUUGGUAAGGUAACGGCUUACCAAGGCAACGAUGCAUAUCCGACCUGAGAGGGUGAUCGGCAACACGGGAACUGAGACACGGUCCAGACGAAUACGGGAGGCAGCAGUAGGGAAUAUUCCGCAAUGGGCGAAAGCAUGACGGAGCAACGCCGCGUGAGGGAUGAAGGUCUUCGGAUCGUAAAACUCUGUUAUUAGGGAAGAACAUAUGUGUAAGUAACUGUGAACAGAUUGACGGUAACUAAUCAGAAAGCAACGGCUAACUACGUG